CACAUGCAAAGUGUCACAUACAUACACCAUACACACACUAACACACUCGCACAUACAUAGGCAUGUGCAUAUAUAUAUAUAUUUACCGAGACGUAUGCAAAUACAGGCACAUAGAUAUGUAGACAGAUAAAAACUGGCAAAUACACACAUACACACACACAGACACAAAGACACACGCAUGUACACAUACAUACAUCCAUUACGCAAUUUCCCUUAUCUUUAGGUAUAUCUCUCAGUAUAUGUAACUGCGACAAAAUUACAUCACUACCACCGCCAUGACCACCACUACCAACAAAAACAACAAUGAUAAAAACAGCGGGGAGGACGGCGACAACAACAGUGGGGGGGACAACAACAACAACAACAACA